rnacentral:rRNA from 1 species
UUGUGGUUCAUGACUGGGGUGAAGUCGUAACAAGGUAGCGCUAGGGGAACCUGGCGCUGGAUCACCUCCUUACACGA